ACUGAAUAGAUACCCUGGUAGUCCACGCCCUAAACGAUGUCAACUGGUUGUUGGGUCUUCACUGACUCAGUAAACGAAAGCUAAACGCGUGAAGUUGACCGCCUGGGGAGUACGGCCGCAAGGUUGAGACUCAAAGGAAUUGACGGGGACCCGCACAAGCGGUGGAUGAUGUGGUUUAAUUCGAUGCAACGCGAAAACCUUACCCACCUUUGACAUGUACGGAAUCCUUUAGAGAUAGAGGAGUGCUCGAAAGAGAGCCGUAACACAGGUGCUGCAUGACUGUCGUCAGCUCGUGUCGUGAGAUGUUGGGUUAAGUCCCGCAACGAGCGCAACCCUUGUCAUUAGUUGCUACAUUCAGUUGGGCACUCUAAUGAGACUGCCGGUGACAAACCGGAGGAAGGUGGGGAUGACGUCAAGUCCUCAUGGCCCUUAUAGGUGGGGCUACACACGUCAUACAAUGGCUGGUACAGAGGGUUGCCAACCCGCGAGGGGAGCCAAUCCCAUAAAGCCAGUCGUAGUCCGGAUCGCAGUCU
rnacentral:rRNA from 1 species